GCCUGAGCGAUAUCUCCCUGCAGUUCUCACCUGGUUUCCCACUGAAACUAAGCUGGGUUGAGCCUGGCCAGUACCUGGAUGCGAGACCUCCAGAGUAAAACUAAGGUUGCUGCUGGAA
rnacentral:rRNA from 1 species